rnacentral:lncRNA from 1 species
UCCUUCUCUCUGUUAUAGUCUACUCUCUCAUUUCUAAACUCUAGAUCUGCUCAUCUCAUAUUUCAUUCUCUAACUCUCAAAACCUAAACCACCUCCAUCCCACCACCACACCUCCACCAUCAAAACCACCGUCGCCACUGUACAUCCACCGUCACCACCACCACUACACCGUCACCACCACAAAACCCAUCACCGCUACACCUCCACCAUCAACACCACCGUCGCCGUCGCCACUGCACCUCCACCGUCACCACCAUUACACCGUCACCGCCACAACACCCACCACCGCUACACCUCUACCGUCACCACCAUCACCACUGCACCUCCAUCAACACCUCCACACCUCCACCAUCAACACCACAACACCCACCACCGCUACAGUGGAUGAUCAGAUCUUUGGGGGUUUUGUUCUUCAAUUGGUUUCUGACGAAAUUAGGUGUAAUGGCUGCAAAAUUAACUGAAUUUAUGAGGGAUAAGUUGAAGGAAUAAUAAAAAGAUUACAAAUGUUGGAUGUGUGAAGAAGAUGAUGAUACCAGGUGAGGGGCAGAUGGUUGUAGCAAGAUCUUGAAGAAGGAAGGAUUCUGUCGAUGAGCCAUUCAAAGUUUGCACAGAUUCAAGAGUGGGUAUAGUAUUGAUUGUAUGCAUCUUUCUAUUUGAUGAACAAUUUGGAAUUGAAUUGGGUGUUUAUAUUUCUUCAUACUGGAGAAUAAAAUGAUACCAUUCAGUGAUAUUUUGAGUUGAAAUAGAGAAAAUCAUGCUCAAACACAUCAAUUAAUUACCUCUUGUGUCUCUGUUCUGCAAUUUUGCUUUAAACCAGUUAGUUACAUUUGAUUGCUUCAAUAUUGGCUUAAUGAAAAUCUGUUCUUCAUUGCUUCAAUCAAUUGAACUUAUACUUGAUUUUUUGAUGACUAGGAUUAAACAGAGUUAG